rnacentral:rRNA from 1 species
UGGAGAGUUUGAUCCUGGCUCAGGAUGAACGCUGGCGGCGUGCCUAAUACAUGCAAGUCGAGCGAAUGAUGAGGAGCUUGCUCCUCUGAUUUAGCGGCGGACGGGUGAGUAACACGUGGGUAAUCUGCCUGUAAGACGGGGAUAACUCCGGGAAACCGGGGCUAAUACCGGAUAAUAAGAGAAGAAGCAUUUCUUCUUUUUGAAAGUYGGUUUCGGCURACACUUACAGAUGAGCCCGCGGCGCAUUAGCUAGUUGGUGAGGUAACGGCUCACCAAGGCGACGAUGCGUAGCCGACCUGAGAGGGUGAUCGGCCACACUGGGACUGAGACACGGCCCAGACUCCUACGGGAGGCAGCAGUAGGGAAUCUUCGGCAAUGGGCGAAAGCCUGACCGAGCAACGCCGCGUGAGCGAUGAAGGCCUUCGGGUCGUAAAGCUCUGUUGUUAGAGAAGAACAAGUACGAGAGUAACUGCUCGUACCUUGACGGUACCUAACCAGAAAGCCACGGCUAACUACGUGCCAGCAGCCGCGGUA